rnacentral:tRNA from 1 species
GGGGUUGUGGUUCAGUGGUAGAGCCCUUUCCUAGCAUGUAUGAGGCACUGGGUUUGAUCCUCAGCACCACA